CGAAAACGAAUUCUCUCUUGAGUGGAUCCUGAGUACGACGGAGCACGUGAAAUUCCGUCGGAAUCUGGGAGGACCAUCUCCUAAGGCUAAAUACUCUCUAGUGACCGAUAGUGAACCAGUACCGUGAGGGAAAGGUGAAAAGUACCCCGGAAGGGGAGUGAAAGAGAACUUGAAACCGUGUGCUUACAAGUAGUCAGAGCCCGUUAAUGGGUGAUGGCGUGCCUUUUGUAGAAUGAACCGGCGAGUUACGAUCUGAUGCAAGGUUAAGCAGAAAAUGUGGAGCCGUAGCGAAAGCGAGUCUGAAUAGGGCGAAUGAGUAUUUGGUCGUAGACCCGAAACCAGGUGAUCUACCCUUGGUCAGGUUGAAGUUCAGGUAACACUGAAUGGAGGACCGAACCGACUUACGUUGAAAAGUGAGCGGAUGAACUGAGGGUAGCGGAGAAAUUCCAAUCGAACUUGGAGAUAGCUGGUUCUCUCCGAAAUAGCUUUAGGGCUAGCCUCAAGUGAUGAUUAUUGGAGGUAGAGCACUGUUUGGACGAGGGGCCCCUCUCGGGUUACCGAAUUCAGACAAACUCCGAAUGCCAAAUAAUUUAACUUGGGAGUCAGAAUGUGGGUGAUAAGGUCCAUAUUCGAAAGGGAAACAGCCCAGACCACCAGCUAAGGUCCCAAAAUAUAUGUUAAGUGGAAAAGGAUGUGGCGUUGCCCAGACAACUAGGAUGUUGGCUUAGAAGCAGCCAUCAUUUAAAGAGUGCGUAAUAGCUCACUAGUCGAGUGACACUGCGCCGAAAAUGUACCGGGGCUAAACAUAUUACCGAAGCUGUGGAUUGUCCUUUGGACAAUGGUAGGAGAGCGUUCUAAGGGCGUUGAAGCAUGAUCGCAAGGACAUGUGGAGCGCUUAGAAGUGAGAAUGCCGGUGUGAGUAGCGAAAGACGGGUGAGAAUCCCGUCCACCGAUUGACUAAGGUUUCCAGAGGAAGGCUCGUCCGCUCUGGGUUAGUCGGGUCCUAAGCUGAGGCCGACAGGCGUAGGCGAUGGAUAACAGGUUGAUAUUCCUGUACCACCAUUAUUCGUUUUAAGCGAUGGGGGGACGCAGUAGGAUAGGCGAAGCGUGCUGUUGGAGUGCACGUCCAAGCAGUGAGAUUGAGUGUUAGGCAAAUCCGGCACUCUUAAGAUUGAGCUGUGAUGGGGAGAGGAACUUGUUCCUCGAGUCGUUGAUUUCACACUGCCGAGAAAAGCCUCUAGCUAGAAUAACGGUGCCCGUACCGCAAACCGACACAGGUAGUCAAGAUGAGAAUUCUAAGGUGAGCGAGCGAACUCUCGUUAAGGAACUCGGCAAAAUGACCCCGUAACUUCGGGAGAAGGGGUGCUCUUUGAGGUUCACGCUUCGAAGAGCCGCAGUGAAUAGGCCCAAGCGACUGUUUAUCAAAAACACAGGUCUCUGCUAAACCGUAAGGUGACGUAUAGGGGCUGACGCCUGCCCGGUGCUGGAAGGUUAAGAGGAGUGGUUAGCGCAAGCGAAGCUACGAAUCGAAGCCCCAGUAAACGGCGGCCGUAACUAUAACGGUCCUAAGGUAGCGAAAUUCCUUGUCGGGUAAGUUCCGACCCGCACGAAAGGCGUAACGAUUUGGGCACUGUCUCAACGAGAGACUCGGUGAAAUCAUAGUACCGGUGAAGAUGCCGGUUACCCGCGACAGGACGGAAAGACCCCGUGGAGCUUUACUGUAGCCUGAUAUUGAAAUUCGGUACAGUUUGUACAGGAUAGGUAGGAGCCUUAGAAGCGUGAGCGCUAGCUUACGUGGAGGCAUUGGUGGGAUACUACCCUAAUUGUAUUGGAUUUCUAACCCGCAGCACUUAUCGUGCUGGGAGACAGUGUCAGGCGGGCAGUUUGACUGGGGCGGUCGCCUCCUAAAGAGUAACGGAGGCGCUCAAAGGUUCCCUCAGAAUGGUUGGAAAUCAUUCAUAGAGUGUAAAGGCAUAAGGGAGCUUGACUGCGAGACCUACAAGUCGAGCAGGGUCGAAAGACGGACUUAGUGAUCCGGUGGUUCCGCAUGGAAGGGCCAUCGCUCAACGGAUAAAAGCUACCCCGGGGAUAACAGGCUUAUCUCCCCCAAGAGUUCACAUCGACGGGGAGGUUUGGCACCUCGAUGUCGGCUCAUCGCAUCCUGGGGCUGUAGUCGGUCCCAAGGGUUGGGCUGUUCGCCCAUUAAAGCGGUACGCGAGCUGGGUUCAGAACGUCGUGAGACAGUUCGGUCCCUAUCCGUCGUGGGCGUAGGAAAUUUGAGAGGAGCUGUCCUUAGUACGAGAGGACCGGGAUGGACAUACCUCUGGUGUACCAGUUGUCGUGCCAACGGCAUAGCUGGGUAGCUAUGUAUGGACGGGAUAAGUGCUGAAAGCAUCUAAGCAUGAAGCCCCCCUCGAGAUGAGAUUUCCCAACUUCGGUUAUAAG
rnacentral:rRNA from 1 species